UCCACCUGUAAAACAAGAGGUUCUCAUCAGCUGAGAGAAUGGCCCGGGCCCUUGAGGACUGGGAUUCUCUACAGCUAAGGAAGAGAGGACUGCAACUGUGCUUUGGAGACAAAUUGGCUUCAAGGAUAAGUGAUCCUAUAUGAGAAGUCCAAGUGUGGCAUUUGGACCCCUGAGUAAUUAAAAGGAACAACAGACAUCUUCUUGCAUGCUGAAUAGGUGUUCGG
rnacentral:lncRNA from 1 species